rnacentral:rRNA from 1 species
AUCAUUAACUGAAUCCAUAGGUUAAUGAGGCGAACCGGGGGAACUGAAACAUCUAAGUACCCCGAGGAAAAGAAAUCAACCGAGAUUCCCCCAGUAGCGGCGAGCGAACGGGGAGGAGCCCAGAGCCUGAAUCAGCAUGUGUGUUAGUGGAAGCGUCUGGAAAGGCGCGCGAUACAGGGUGACAGCCCCGUACACAAAAGCGCAUGUGCUGUGAGCUCGAUGAGUAGGGCGGGACACGUGGUAUCCUGUCUGAAUAUGGGGGGACCAUCCUCCAAGGCUAAAUACUCCUGACUGACCGAUAGUGAACCAGUACCGUGAGGGAAAGGCGAAAAGAACCCCGGCGAGGGGAGUGAAAAAGAACCUGAAACCGUGUACGUACAAGCAGUGGGAGCACAGGUUUACCUGUGUGACUGCGUACCUUUUGUAUAAUGGGUCAGCGACUUAUAUUCUGUAGCAAGGUUAACCGAAUAGGGGAGCCGGAGGGAAACCGAGUCUUAAUUGGGCGUUAAGUUGCAGGGUAUAGACCCGAAACCCGGUGAUCUAGCCAUGGGCAGGUUGAAGGUUGGGUAACACUAACUGGAGGACCGAACCGACUAAUGUUGAAAAAUUAGCGGAUGACCUGUGGCUGGGGGUGAAAGGCCAAUCAAACCGGGAGAUAGCUGGUUCUCCCCGAAAGCUAUUUAGGUAGCGCCUCGUGAAUUCAUCUCCGGGGGUAGAGCACUGUUUCGGCUAGGGGGCCAUCCCGGCUUACCAACCCGAUGCAAACUGCGAAUACCGGAGAAUGUUAUCACGGGAGACACACGGCGGGUGCUAACGUCCGUCGUGAAGAGGGAAACAACCCAGACCGCCAGCUAAGGUCCCAAAGUCAUGGUUAAGUGGGAAACGAUGUGGGAAGGCCCAGACAGCCAGGAUGUUGGCUUAGAAGCAGCCAUCAUUUAAAGAAAGCGUAAUAGCUCACUGGUCGAGUCGGCCUGCGCGGAAGAUGUAACGGGGCUAAACCAUG